rnacentral:rRNA from 1 species
GGGCAGGCCUAACACAUGCAAGUCGAGCGGUAACAGGGGUAGCUUGCUACCCGCUGACGAGCGGCGGACGGGUGAGUAAUGCAUAGGAAUUUAUCCGAUAGUGGGGGAUAACCUGGGGAAACCCAGGCUAAUACCGCAUACGUCCUACGGGAGAAAGGGGGCUCCGGCUCCCGCUAUCGGAUGAGCCUAUGCCGGAUUAGCUGGUUGGUGAGGUAACGGCUCACCAAGGCGACGAUCCGUAGCUGGUCUGAGAGGAUGAUCAGCCACAUCGGGACUGAGACACGGCCCGAACUCCUACGGGAGGCAGCAGUGGGGAAUAUUGGACAAUGGGGGCAACCCUGAUCCAGCCAUGCCGCGUGUGUGAAGAAGGCCCUCGGGUUGUAAAGCACUUUCAGUGAGGAAGAACGCCUGAUGGUUAAUACCCGUCAGGAAAGACAUCACUCACAGAAGAAGCACCGGCUAACUCCGUGCCAGCAGCCGCGGUAAUACGGAGGGUGCAAGCGUNAAUCGGAAUUACUGGGCGUAAAGCGCGCGUAGGUGGCUUGAUAAGCCGGUUGUGAAAGCCCCGGGCUCAACCUGGGAACCGCAUC